GGACCAGGGCGGUCCGGUCUGCCGGGAUGGUGUGCACUGGCCGCCCUGUCCUUCACUUACAUCUGCCGGCAUGCUGGCCUCUGCUCUUAACUGAGUGGAGGCUUUCAGCUCCGGCUCGUUUACUUUGAGAAAAUUAGAGUGUUUAAAGCAGGCGUUGCCAAAAACAAGUGCCUUGAAUACUACAGCAUGGAAUAAUGGAAUAGGACUUCGUGCCUCAUUUUGUUGGUUUCUAGGAAGCGAAGUA
rnacentral:rRNA from 1 species